rnacentral:tRNA from 1 species
GGGCGGUUAACUCAGCGGCUAGAGUACUGGCUUUACACGCCAGGAGUCGGAGGUUCGAAUCCUCUACCGCCUACCA